UGGUUUUUCUCAUGAAUUGGAAAAGGGAUUCAAGGCCUGUUUGCUGUGAUAUCAGUCUUUAAUAAAUUAAUCUUCUCUUAGAUAUGAGUGUUUCAUCUACUAUAAUACUAUGUAAGGCUCUGAAUUAACAUAUAUAUAGUGAAAAUGAAAUUGUGAUUGAAUCAGAGUAAAAGAGCUUUGGUUAUGAGAAUAUUGAAUAUUAUUAACGGAGGAGGAACCCAUAGAAAAGAGUAGGAAAAAAUCAUUUGUAUAUAUUCAGUUUCAUUAUACUGUAUCCCGAUGAUAAGGAUGCUGAGGUUGCUAGCAGCGUUGCUGGAGGCAGUGCUCCUGCUGUAGUCAUGGCGGUUAAGGAUAGUAUGGACAGAGGAUGAUAAAGUCAGUUCCUUAUGAACAUAAAAGAGGCUGAUUUUGGCAUCAUUAACAAGAGCAAGGUCCUACAAUUUCAUGGAUCAGCCGCAUGCUACUCUUUAUUAUUCUCAAAGACAAUGAAAGGUGACAUUUUGAUUGGGGAAGCCUUAGGAGUAUCAGAAACUGCACAAGGGUAAGCUUUCAUCCCUCCUACUUAUCACAAAUUCCUUAUAUAUACCUCAUUUUUUGUUGAUGUGUUUGGUUGUGGG